rnacentral:misc_RNA from 1 species
GAUGAAGAACGUAGCGAAAUGCGAUAAGUAGUGUGAAUUGCAGAAUUCAGUGAAUCAUCGAAUCUUUGAACGCACAUUGCGCCCCUUGGUAUUCCAUGGGGCAUGCCUGUUCGAGCGUCAUUUGUACCUUCAAGCAACUUCUGCUUGGUGUUGGGGAUCGGCCGUCAAACGCCGCCCCCGAAAUCUAUUGGCGAUCUCGCUGUAGCUUCCUAUGCGUAGUAGUAACAUCUCGCAUCUGGAGAGCGGCGCGGUCAUGCCGUAAAACACCCAACUUCUCAGGUUGACCUCAGAUCAGGUAGGAAUACCCGCUGAACUUAAGCAUAUCAAUAAGCGGAGGA